UCGAGAAUCUUGGGCAAUGCGCGAAAGCGUGACCCAGCAAUGCCGCGUGCGGGAUGAAGGUCUUCGGAUUGUAAACCGCUGUCACUCGGGACGAAAUAAUGACGGUACCGAGGGAGGAAGCCACGGCUAACUACGUGCCAGCAGCCGCGGUAAUACGUAGGUGGCGAGCGUUGUUCGGAUUUAUUGGGCGUAAAGGGUCCGCAGGAGGUUUGUCAAGUUCGAAGUGAAAUCCCAGAGCUCAACUCUGGAACUGCUUUGGAGACUGAUGAACUAGAGUGCUGGAGAGGUAAGCGGAAUUUCAGGUGUAGCGGUGGAAUGCGUAGAUAUCUGAAAGAACACCGAAAGCGAAGGCAGCUUACUGGACAGCAACUGACUCUCAGGGACGAAAGCGUGGGGAGCAAACA
rnacentral:rRNA from 1 species